UUCGCCCUUAGAGUUUGAUCCUGGCUCAGGAUGAACGCUAGCUACAGGCUUAACACAUGCAAGUCGAGGGGAAACGACAUCGAAAGCUUGCUUUUGAUGGGCGUCGACCGGCGCACGGGUGAGUAACGCGUAUCCAACCUGCCCACCACUUGGGGAUAACCUUGCGAAAGUAAGACUAAUACCCAAUGACGUCUCUAGAAGACAUCUGAAAGAGAUUAAAGAUUUAUCGGUGAUGGAUGGGGAUGCGUCUGAUUAGCUUGUUGGCGGGGUAACGGCCCACCAAGGCGACGAUCAGUAGGGGUUCUGAGAGGAAGGUCCCCCACAUUGGAACUGAGACACGGUCCAAACUCCUACGGGAGGCAGCAGUGAGGAAUAUUGGUCAAUGGACGAGAGUCUGAACCAGCCAAGUAGCGUGCAGGAUGACGGCCCUAUGGGUUGUAAACUGCUUUUAUAAGGGAAUAAAGUGAGUCUCGUGAGACUUUUUGCAUGUACCUUAUGAAUAAGGACCGGCUAAUUCCGUGCCAGCAGCCGCGGUAAUACGGAAGGUCCGGGCGUUAUCCGGAUUUAUUGGGUUUAAAGGGAGCGUAGGCCGGAGAUUAAGCGUGUUGUGAAAUGUAGACGCUCAACGUCUGCACUGCAGCGCGAACUGGUUUCCUUGAGUACGCACAAAGUGGGCGGAAUUCGUGGUGUAGCGGUGAAAUGCUUAGAUAUCACGAAGAACUCCGAUUGCGAAGGCAGCUCACUGGAGCGCAACUGACGCUGAAGCUCGAAAGUGCGGGUAUCGAACAGGAUUAGAUACCCUGGUAGUCCGCACGGUAAACGAUGGAUGCCCGCUGUUGGUCUGAAUAGGUCAGCGGCCAAGCGAAAGCAUUAAGCAUCCCACCUGGGGAGUACGCCGGCAACGGUGAAAC
rnacentral:rRNA from 1 species